rnacentral:rRNA from 1 species
UACGGGGGAGCAAGCGUUGUUCGGAUUUACUGGGCGUAAAGGGCGCGUAGGCGGCCACCGCAAGUCGACUGUGAAAUCUCCGGGCUUAACCCGGAAAGGUCAGCCGAUACUGCGGGGCUAGAGUGCAGAAGGGGCAACUGGAAUUCUACGGUGUAGCGGUGAAAUGCGUAGAUAUCGAGAGGAACACCUGCGGCGAAGGCGGGUUGCUGGGCUGACACUGACGCUGAUGCGCGAAAGCUAGGGGGAGCGAACGGG